rnacentral:lncRNA from 1 species
CUCUUUGUAACUUUUAUUGAAAAAUUUUCACAUAUAAAUGGAUCUGUGCAGCUCAAAGCCAUGUUAUUCAAGGGUCACGUGUAACAUUCUUCUUUCCAUGUCUACGAAAGCAUCUCUUUGCUCCGCUAUUUCCCUCCUUUGUUUCACUUAAACCUUUAUAGAAUUCCUUCAUCCUGAAAUAUCUCAUCCUUGGUCAUCAGUCACUCUUCAGAAAAUUCCAUUUUCUAGGCAUACAAUGCCGAAUUUUGUCUUAUCUUUAUAAUCACUAGCAGUGUCUAAACAUAUACAUGUAAACCUAUUCAUUUAUAUGUUGGUUAUUUGUACCUAAUAAUAAUAAUAGCUCACAUUAGGGGAAGCUUAAAUUAUGCCAAGCACUGCUAUCUCAUAAUAGCCUAUGGGAUCAAUACUAAUACCCCAUUUUGCAGA